rnacentral:rRNA from 1 species
CUACCUGGUUGAUCCUGCCAGUAGUCAUAUGCAU